CCUCUCACGGAAUUGAUCCGUUUCACUUUUCCUCGAAGGAGAGAAAAAAGAGAAACUCCCACACAAAUUUCGAACCCAAAACAUAAAACGAAAAAAAACUCAUACCAAACCCUUUUCUGUUUCACUCAUAAAACAUAAAAAAAAAAAAGAAAAACAAACCCUAAAAACAAAGCGUAGGAUAUGCUUUCUUCGUGGAGAUCGAGAGAAAAUAAAACCUAAAAAAAUUCUUCCUUCUUCUCCUUUAUUCACCCAAAAAAAAAAUCUUUCUCCAUCGCGAUGGUUUAUUCUUCGCGUCUCUUUUCUUCUCCGUCCUUUCUUCUUCUCGAUUGUCUCUGUUUUUUUUGAAUUACUAUUGAUUUAUUUUUGUUUUUCUGUCGCAGGUGAUAUACUUUGAUGGGAAUCUGUAAAAAGGGUCUAAUUAGGUACGAAAAAAUUAUGGUAGCAUAGAAGGGAAAUUCACAACAUAAACACAGAUAUAAGACAAUUGCGUCAUUGGGGCUAUGGAGGAGAAAGGCAAUUACGUAACCAUUUCCGGUGGUGGUCGGCAUAAUGCCACAAUAAAAGCUUGAACUUUAUAAUAGAUGAUCCAUGAUUGGGAGGGAUUUUCGAUCUCUGGCACUCACAAUUUGUUCCAGCAUAAAAAUUGUAACUAGCAUUCCUUCCCAGUCUUCAUGGUUAACGCAAGCCAACAGUGGUUCAGAUGGACGAUAUGUCGAGGGGUAUAUCCAGAUGACAAAUCACAUGUUGAGGGAACCGAAACUCACACGGUGGUUCCUAAAACGCACUAUUUGGAAGUUCAAAUCACUGCUCUGCGGGGUUAGAGAUUUUGCGGAUUACCUGUGUAAAGGUGAUGCAAUCAAGUGUGAUUUUGGGGUUAAUGGAUUUAACUCUUACAUCAACACAUACUUCAAUGCUUGAUCCAGGGUAUAACCUUCUCUCUUACAACAAUCAAGAUGUAUUCAUCUUGAUUGUACAUAGAUGAAGUUGAACUGUCAACUGGAGAGUUACAAAUGACAGGCAAUGCAUAAUCUCAUGUCUCUGCAACAUACAAUGAACCAAUGCAUAAGUUCCCUCCAUGUAGAGUGCACUGUGUUGUUAAGGCAAUUGAAGGUCAAGGGACAACUAUUGACGUCGUAUUAGUAAAUGAGAUGCCUCAUGAGGGACAUCAGAUUGUGGUACAUAGGUAGGUGUUCCAAUAAGAAAAUGUAUAUCAUAUGGAAACACAUGUCCAGCAGGGACAAUGAGUUUAUUUCGACAAGAAUAUGGUAUUUGCCUUCCUCGAGCUGCAAGUAUUAAGUUUACUCUUCUCUGAGAAAUUUGAUAGAACCAACUUCACAUUGAAGCUUUAGAUAGUUGACUUUUCUAAUAUUUCGCUAAAAUAUUUGCAUCUUAUGUUAUAUGAUUUGAGAUGGGUAAUUCCUGGAAAGCAUGUUAAAUGAGCCUGUUCUGUGAUUACUUUCUGACUUUCUGUGUUUCAGUAAUUUGUAUUACAUGAAAUGUUGUGAUGUACAUACAGUCUUAGCAUCUUCGAGGCACAAUAACUUCAAAAGUGAUUUUGAGGAAAAAGGAUGGACGGAGAGAGUUGGUAUCUGCUAAAAUUCUCUUCUUAAUUAAAAUUCUUAUAUAUACUUUUUUGAGGUAAUUUUGCAUUUCAUAAUUCAUAUGCUUUCCUCUUUUCCAUGUUCUCACGAUCUCACUCAAGCAAUAACAUAUAAAGGCUUUAGUGUAGCUGUUAUUUGUCGCCCGGAUCCGUUGUGGUGCUAUUUAUUUUUUGUACCUUUAUUAGCUGCGGGGGUGGUUGAUGAUGGCGUCAAAUUAUGACAGGAACAAAAUGGAGUUUACUAUUGCAAUGGGAUUCAGGUAUUUUCCCAUAUAACCAGGCAUUGGGUGGUCAUAGAUCAAGCUACAGUAGUGACAAAAUCAAUCAGAAGAAAUAUAGAAGUUGUUGCAGGUGGAUUAAUAAAUAACAAGAGAAGCUGAAGAGUAAGAGGAUGAGGAUGAGAACCACAAUUUUUAAGAGCAGCAUCAUAGUGAACCUAUGAAAUUCAGAGAUCAGGUUAAGAAAGUAAGAUCCAUUAUAAUUCAAAAAUCUAAGUUGCGCAAACACAUCGAUUUAGCAUUUGCGGGAAGAAACUUCCAACAGGUCAAGCACCUGAAGGACAUGUAAGACACAUCACAAUGGAUUUAGCAUUAACAUUAGUGGUGGACAGCACUCUUCGUCCUCCAUCAAGUAGCUCAUCACUACUAAUAGUUGUACAACUGCUAAUACAGGAGGUGGUCAUCAAGUGGUGCUUGAUUUUGAUCUAAAUGAACCGCCGGUGAUGGAAGAGUAAGAAAGUAAUAGAUCUAAUUGUGAACUGUGGGGUUAUAUAUUAAGUUUAAUUCAAAAAUGCAAUUACAUGUGUCGUUAUCCUUAUAACUUAAAUGUAUUUGUUGUCAUUUAUGCCAUUUUUAUGUUCAGAGCCACAUAUAGCGUGGAUGUAAUACUUGUAAUUCUUUUGUGAUACUUUAUUUAUA